GGCAGUUCUCAGGUGACCCACCUGGACCUGGAAUUGGGCUCCCUCCUUUCUGGUUCUGGGUGUGUCACCCAAGAACCGCA
rfam:Myotis lucifugus cont2.8010, whole genome shotgun sequence.